rnacentral:rRNA from 1 species
GACGAACGCUGUCGGCGUGCCUAAUACAUGCAAGUUGAGCGCUGAAGGUUGGUACUUGUACCAACUGGAUGAGCAGCGAACGGGUGAGUAACGCGUGGGGAAUCUGCCUUUGAGCGGGGGACAACAUUUGGAAACGAAUGCUAAUACCGCAUAAAAACUUUAAACACAAGUUUUAAGUUUGAAAGAUGCAAUUGCAUCACUCAAAGAUGAUCCCGCGUUGUAUUAGCUAGUUGGUGAGGUAAAGGCUCACCAAGGCGAUGAUACAUAGCCGACCUGAGAGGGUGAUCGGCCACAUUGGGACUGAGACACGGCCCAAACUCCUACGGGAGGCAGCAGUAGGGAAUCUUCGGCAAUGGACGAAAGUCUGACCGAGCAACGCCGCGUGAGAGAAGAAGGUUUUCGGAUCGUAAAACUCUGUUGGUAGAGAAGAACGUUGGUGAGAGUGGAAAGCUCAUCAAGUGACGGUAACUACCCAGAAAGGGACGGCUAACUACGUG